GGGAACAACAGCUGGAAACGGCUGCUAAUACCCCAUAGGCUGAGGAGCAAAAGGAGGAAUCCGCCCAAGGAGGGGCUCGCGUCUGAUUAGUUAGUUGGUGAGGCAAUGGCUUACCAAGGCGACGAUCAGUAGCUGGUCCGAGAGGAUGAUCAGCCACACUGGGACUGAGACACGGCCCAGACUCCUACGGGAGGCAGCAGUGGGGAAUUUUCCGCAAUGGGCGAAAGCCUGACGGAGCAAUGCCGCGUGAAGGCAGAAGGCCACGGGUCAUGAACUUCUUUUCUCGGAGAAGAAAAAAUGAC
rnacentral:rRNA from 1 species